rnacentral:rRNA from 1 species
UACGUAGGGGGCUAGCGUUGUCCGGAAUCAUUGGGCGUAAAGCGCGUGUAGGCGGCCCGGUAAGUCCGCUGUGAAAGUCGGGGGCUCAACCCUCGGAUGCCGGUGGAUACUGUCGGGCUUGAGUACGGAAGAGGCGAGUGGAAUUCCUGGUGUAGCGGUGAAAUGCGCAGAUAUCAGGAGGAACACCAAUUGCGAAGGCAGCUCGCUGGGACGUUACUGACGCUGAGGCGCGACAGCGUGGGGAGCAAACAGG